AUUGAACGCUGGCGGCAUGCUUUACACAUGCAAGUCGAACGGUAACAGGCCGCCAGGUGCUGACGAGUGGCGAACGGGUGAGUAAUGCAUCGGAACGUGCCCAGUCGUGGGGGAUAACUACUCGAAAGAGUAGCUAAUACCGCAUACGAUCUAUGGAUGAAAGCGGGGGACCGUAAGGCCUCGCGUGAUUUGAGCGGCUGAUGUCAGAUUAGGUAGUUGGUGGGGUAAAGGCUCACCAAGCCAACGAUCUGUAGCUGGUCUGAGAGGACGACCAGCCACACUGGGACUGAGACACGGCCCAGACUCCUACGGGAGGCAGCAGUGGGGAAUUUUGGACAAUGGGCGCAAGCCUGAUCCAGCAAUGCCGCGUGCAGGAAGAAGGCCUUCGGGUUGUAAACUGCUUUUGUACGGAACGAAACGGCUCUGGUUAAUACCCGGGGCUAAUGACGGUACCGUAAGAAUAAGCACCGGCUAACUACGUG
rnacentral:rRNA from 1 species